GGGGAAUAUUGCACAAUGGGCGAAAGCCUGAUGCAGCGACGCCGCGUGAGGGAUGACGGCCUUCGGGUUGUAAACCUCUUUCAGCAGGGAAGAAGCGAAAGUGACGAUACCCCCAGAAGAAGGACCGGCCAACUACGUGCCAGCAGCCGCAGUAAUACGUAGGGUCCAAGCGUUGUCCGGAAUUAUUGGGCGUAAAGAGCUCGUAGGCGGUCCGUUAAGUCGGAAGUGAAAUCUCAAGGCUCAACCUUGAAAUCGCUUUCGAUACUGGCGGACUUGAGGCAGGUAGGGGAAGGUGGAAUUCCUGGUGUAGCGGUGAAAUGCGCAGAUAUCAGGAGGAACACCGGUGGCGAAGGCGGCCUUCUGGGCCUGUUCUGACGCUGAGGAGCGAAAGCGUGGGGAGCAAA
rnacentral:rRNA from 1 species